GAUGAACGCUGGCGGCGUGCCUAAUACAUGCAAGUCGAGCGAACAGACGAGGAGCUUGCUCCUCUGACGUUAGCGGCGGACGGGUGAGUAACACGUGGAUAACCUACCUAUAAGACUGGGAUAACUUCGGGAAACCGGAGCUAAUAGCGGAUAAUAUAUUGAACCGCAUGGUUCAAUAGUGAAAGACGGUUUUGCUGUUGCUUCUAGAUGUAUCCGCGCCGCAUUCGCUAAUUGGUAAGGUAACGGCUUACCAAGGCAACGAUGCGUAGCCGACCUGAGAGAGUGAUCGGCGACACUGGAACUGGAACACGGGCCAGACUCCUACGGGAGGCAGCAGUAGGGAAUCUUCCGCAGCAGGCGAAAGCCUGACGCAGCAAUGCGGCGUGAGUUAUGGAGGCCUUGGGAUCGUAAAACUCUGUUAUUAGGGAAGAACAACUGUGUAAGUAGCUAUGCACGUCUUGACGGUACCUAAUCAGAAAGCCACGGCUAACUACGUG
rnacentral:rRNA from 1 species